UCUGCCCCAUGGGGAAGGAUGAGAAGCUUCGACUAAGGUUCGACUCGAGCGCCAGCGAGAGAACGUUGCCGCAGGCAACGGCCCGAAGGGCGAGGCGCUUUAGCGCCGAGUAAUCCUUCCCCCACCACCA
rnacentral:sRNA from 1 species